UACAGAGGUCUCAAGCGUUGUUCGGAUUCAUUGGGCGUAAAGGGUGCGUAGGUGGCGCCGUAAGUCAGGUGUGAAAUUUCGGAGCUCAACUCCGAAACUGCAUUUGAUACUGCGGUGCUUGAGGACUGGAGAGGAGACUGGAAUUCCAGGUGUAGCGGUGAAAUGCGUAGAUAUCGUGAGGAAGACCAGUGGCGAAGGCGGGUCUCUGGACAGUUCCUGACACUGAGGCACGAAGGCCAGGGGAGCAAACGGG
rnacentral:rRNA from 1 species